GCUUUGAAUUUGCCUUGAGUUAGUUCUGGAUAGGAACAUGAUGGUGAAAAGACUCAUCAAGAGGUCUCAGUUUUUCCAGAGGGAUUUGAUGUCUCGAUGUGGAAGAAGGGAAACAGCCCAAAGAGUUAAUGAAGUUCAGCCCUGGGGCAGAGACAGUGGGAGCAGAUGUGUGAUUAUAGGAGCUGAACUCCCUUAACUGAGAAUUUCACCCAGGCACACGGAGCUUUUCUGUACACAAAGAAACAAUUUCUGUUCCCUAACAGCCAUUUAUAAACCUAUUGCCAUGCAGAUAAUCUUCCAAAGACAAGAGGGUUUGACUAAAGCAUUACUUUCAUCAAUUUUACCAUAGUUUCCUCGUAACACAGAUGUGAAAUGAGCUAGGUAACAGCUAUCUUUAUUCACAAUAACGUGCCAACCUAAACCAUAAUGCAUUCAGUUUUGCUUUCCUUCCCUGCAACAGUUUGGUGUCUUGUUUCCACCCAACUGUUUGUUGGUGGGGUUUUGUUGUUUUAUUUUCCCUUAAGCUGUUUCACCUGGGAGAUGCUCUGGGGAAGUAGCUCUCAACCUGCGUUUCACACCACAGCUGUCUCAUGGGUGUGAAUUUCAUUUUAUUUUAAGCUGGAGUGUUUGCUGUGCUCUUGGUUGAAAAGGAAAUACAACUUUUCCUGUCUUCUGGAAACAGGAUCCUUACCAAGAAGGGAGUAUCUACAGUUCCUUUCCUUUGUUUUUAUUCCCCCAGCUGUGUUGCCUGCUUGAGCAACCCGUGUGAACAGUUUUCCUCACCCGCUCAGAGAUCAUCUGGAUGCUGCUGGAGUGGCAAGAUACAGGGGCUACCAUCCGAGCUUGUCUCACAGCUGGACCAAGAGGCACAUAAACCUGCAGGUGCUUUUGGGAGCCACAGCAGGAGUUUGAUGGGUAAAACAGCUCUGAAGAGGCAGUAGCUUCCUCCCUGCUGCGGGACAUGUGAGGUGUGCUGAAGGAUGUUUUCAGGGUGGGACUGGGGACAUGUGCAGGGCUCCCACCAGGGAAGGGUGUUUCAGCAGCGACAAGACCUGUGCUCUCAGCAUGAUGCUUUCUUCCAAAAAUAUGGACAGGUAGAUGCUGUCAGCUGUUGAAGUGCUGUGUACCUCUCUGUGACUGACAGGGAUGCUUUCUGCCAGCCCACAUCAGCACCCCGGGUCUGGCAGCUGCUGAGGGAUCCUCAUUCCCUCUGGAAGUAACUUGUGUUUUCUGUGGGAAAGGUAGAUGGUGAUGGAAGAUGAUAGUGAUAGUAAUGAUAACGGUGAAGGUGUGCUCACUGACAUGCUUCUUAAGGCCUUUGCUCCAGUAAUUAAAGUUUUCUCUGUUUUUCAGCCUUAAAUGUUGAGCACACCAUUUUAUACGGCUGUAUUCUUGUGACUGCCCUUAAGCUUACAGGCUUUUUAGAAGGGGAGGAUCUUCACAGGAGCUGGCAGCGCUGGCCUCGGGGCAAGCAACUGGACUCCAUGAGGCAGCAGAGAUCCAGUGACUAGCCCAGUCCUUCAGCCCCAUGACUAUGGCUGUGACUGUCCUCAGGGUCCUGCCAACAGGGCUUUGCAAUUCUGCAGACUCUACAUGGGCUUGAAGGCUGAGCAAGAUUUGUAGCUUGCACCAAAUGCGAGACAAUGUCUGCGAGGGCACUUGCAGGUAAAUGUGUGUAUAAGGCUCCUGAGACAGAACCAAAAGGGAGUUAUUUUUCCAUGUAGCCUGCAUUGCUUUUUCAUACCCAAGGCUUAACACUCGGAAAACUCAUUCUGUAAGCUGCUUUCUGUGAAGGCAGGUAUCACGCAGCAUUUUAUACAGAGCUGGGCAAAAUUAUCUUUAAGGAUUGGGUCACUAUGGUAACCACUUUUAUCUCAGAAUUAAAAAGUGUUUAUGAUUGCAAUUAAAAAUGUAUGCUUUCUACCAAGAAUUAUUGUGAAUUAUAAUUCAUUUUCUGUUGCAUACUGGAGUUAUUU